rnacentral:ncRNA from 1 species
GCAACGGGGGCAGGCUAAGAAGCGCGGAGUGUCCACGGUCGCCGUUCCGCCGCGCUGAGCCACUGGCGAGACCGGCGCCGCCGGCGU